GCCUAUUGCCCAUACACAGUACUGGCCAUACAAGACUUUCAUUCAAACCAAAAGAAAUAAAGAAAUGAAGAACCGUGAAACUCUCCCAUUUACACUAGCCUUUUUUCUUGGAAGACAAGAAACCAAAAACUCACCACACCAAACCUAGAGACCCAAGAAAGUUAGCUUAAAAACAAACACCGUCCUUGAUCUUAGAGUUGA